rnacentral:lncRNA from 1 species
UCCACCUUCAUGAUCGAAAAGGACACCAGGCCUUUACUUCUGUAGUCAUUCACCACAGGAAGAGUUGCAGAGUAAUGUUAAAUUAAUUCUUAGGAACUCCUGGGUCUUCAGGUCUUCUCUUUCCAGAUGGACGGAUUCUCUUAUGUUCAGUAAAUAACAGUUAGAAAAGUUAGAUGUUCCUACCAAUAGUAAAUAUAAGCCAAAAUCUCAAAUCUAAUACCCUGAUCUUUAGUUUUCAGUGUGAAAAGAGAGAGAGAAAGAGGAAGACCUUGAAAGAGAGAGUGAUAAGAAUGAAUGAGGGGAACUAACAUUCUUUAAAGAAGUGCAGGGAAACACCAGG